UCUCUUGUAAAAUUCAAUAUCUUCAUCAUCAUCUUGUUAUUCAUGUUUGAGUUCAUGAUGAAAAUGAUUUCGUAGACAAGAUUGAAAAUAAUAUAAAAUUAGUUACGUAAAUUGUAAUUAUAUUUGCCAACUUUUAUAAAUCUAAUUCUGGGAUAAUUUAAAUAUUCCCUCUGAUUACUAUUACAAUUUAUAAGUUGGCAUAAAUUUCCUGUCUAGGCUUAUAUAUGUUACUUUUAAAUGUAAUUUAUUAAUUAUUGUGAUUAUACAAUAUUGUUGAAGACAAUUUAUCAAUGUUGUUGUUUUUCAACAUCUUCUCAUUUGAUUUGUAAAGCAACAAUUAAGCUUGUAAUUUGUAUAGUAAUUUAAAUACUCGUGGUGUUGUUGUUUUUGUUGUUCAAUUGAUAAAAUUGAUGACGAUAAUGAUGAUAAUGAUGAUAAUUAUGAUGAAAUGGAAACAACUUUUCAAGGGUCAAUGAAGAAAACGACUUGAAUCAAUCAAUUGAAAUCAUCUGAUGAUCACAAUCAAUUUAUUUGUCUCGGUUUUUUAAUCAUUGUAACAAUUAUAACAACGUGAAAGCUGAAAUUUUAAAUUUAAUUGUUGAUCCUUGUUCCAGUUGAUUGGUUAAUUGUUGUGUUUACCCUUUAAUCAGGCAAAACCGGCUUUUCAAAUGAUUACAAUUUGUCAUUGAUUUACUUUACUUUUUAAUCAAACUCACAUGAUUAUUAUCCAGGUAAAUUGUCAUCUCAUUUUCAAUUUAACCUUGUAAUUUAUUUAUCGCUUUCAUCAUCAUCAUCAUUAAAUUAUGAAUCAUUUUCAUUGUUUACCUUAA